CGAACGCUGGCGGCGUGCUUAACACAUGCAAGUCGAACGGAAAGGCCCUGCUUGCAGGGUACUCGAGUGGCGAACGGGUGAGUAACACGUGGGUGAUCUGCCCUGCACUUCGGGAUAAGUCUGGGAAACUGGGUCUAAUACCGGAUAGGAGCCAUUUUUAGUGUGAUGGUUGGAAAGUUUUUUCGGUGUAGGAUGAGCUCGCGGCCUAUCAGCUUGUUGGUGGGGUAAUGGCCUACCAAGGCGGCGACGGGUAGCCGGCCUGAGAGGGUGGACGGCCACAUUGGGACUGAGAUACGGCCCAGACUCCUACGGGAGGCAGCAGUGGGGAAUAUUGCACAAUGGGCGCAAGCCUGAUGCAGCGACGCCGCGUGGGGGAUGACGGCCUUCGGGUUGUAAACUCCUUUCGCUAGGGACGAAGCUUUUUGUGACGGUACCUAGAGAAGAAGCACCGGCUAACUACGUG
rnacentral:rRNA from 1 species